GAUGAACGCUGGCGGCGUGCCUAAUACAUGCAAGUCGAGCGAACAGACGAGGAGCUUGCUCCUCUGACGUUAGCGGCGGACGGGUGAGUAACACGUGGAUAACCUACCUAUAAGACUGGGAUAACUUCGGGAAACCGGAGCUAAUACCGGAUAAUAUAUUGAACCGCAUGGUUCAAUAGUGAAAGACGGUUUUGCUGUCACUUAUAGAUGGAUCCGCGCCGCAUUAGCUAGUUGGUAAGGUAACGGCUUACCAAGGCAACGAUGCGUAGCCGACCUGAGAGGGUGGUCGGCCACACUGGAACGGAGACACGGUCCAGAGUCCUACGGGAGGCAGCAGUAGGGAAUCUGCCGCAAUGGGCGAAAGCCUGACGGAGCAACGCCGCGUGAGUGAUGAAGGUCUUCGGAUCGUAAAACUCUGUUAUUAGGGAAGAACAAAUGUGUAAGUAACUAUGCACGUCUUGACGGUACCUAAUCAGAAAGCCACGGCUAACUACGUG
rnacentral:rRNA from 1 species